AUGCAAGUCGAGCGGGGAAAGGUAGCUUGCUACUGGACCUAGCGGCGGACGGGUGAGUAAUGCUUAGGAAUCUGCCUAUUAUUGGGGGACAACAUUCCGAAAGGAAUGCUAAUACCGCACACGUCCUACGGGAGAAAGCAGGGGACCUUCGGGCCUUGCGCUAAUAGAUGAGCCUAAGUCGGAUUACCUAGUUGGUGGGGUAAAGGCCUACCAAGGCGACUAUCUGUAGCGGGUCUGAGAGGAUGAUCCGCCACACUGGGACUGAGACACGGCCCAGACUCCUACGGGAGGCAGCAGUGGGGAAUAUUGGACAAUGGGGGGAACCCUGAUCCAGCCAUGCCGCGUGUGUGAAGAAGGCCUUAUGGUUGUAAAGCACUUUAAGCGAGGAGGAGGCUACUAGUAUUAAUACUACUGGAUAGUGGACGUUACUCGCAAAAUAAGCACCGGCUAACUCUGUGCCAGCAGCCGCGGUAAUACAGAGGGUGCGAGCGUUAAUCGGAUUUACUGGGCGUAAAGCGUGCGUAGGCGGCCAUUUAAGUCAAAUGUGAAAUCCCCGAGCUUAACUUGGGAAUUGCAUUCGAUACUGGAUGGCUAGAGUAUGGGAGAGGAUGGUAGAAUUCCAGGUGUAGCGGUGAAAUGCGUAGAGAUCUGGAGGAAUACCGAUGGCGAAGGCAGCCAUCUGGCCUAAUACUGACGCUGAGGUACGAAAGCAUGGGGAGCAAACAGGAUUAGAUACCCUGGUAAUCCAUGCCGUAAACGAUGUCUACUAGCCGUUGGGGCCUUUGAGGCUUUAGUGGCGCAGCUAACGCGAUAAGUAGACCGCCUGGGGAGUACCGUCGCAAGACUAAAACUCAAAUGAAUUGACGGGGGCCCGCA
rnacentral:rRNA from 1 species